AAGACUAUACUUUCAGGGAUCAUUUCUAUAGUAUGUUACAAAUAAGCAGUAACAGUAGAGUUGUUAGGAAAAAAU
rnacentral:snoRNA from 1 species